GAUGAACGCUGGCGGCGUGCCUAAUACAUGCAAGUCGAGCGAACAGACUAUGAUCUUGCUCCUCGGACGUUAGCGGGGGACGGGGGAGUGACACGUGGAUAACCUCCCUAUAAUACUGGGAUAAAACCGGGAAACCGGAUCUAAUACCGGAGAAUAUAUUAAACCGCAUGGGUCAGUAGUGAAAGACGUGUUUUCUCUCACUUAUAGAUGUAGCCGCGCCGCAUUAGCUAGUUGGUGAGGUAACGGCCUACCAAGGCAACGAUGCGUAGCCGACCUGAGAGGGUGAUCGGCCACACUGGAACUGAGACACGGUCCAGACUCCUACGGGAGGCAGCAGUAGGGAAUCUUCCGCAAUGGGCGAAAGCCUGACGGAGCAACGCCGCGUGAGUGAUGAAGGUCUUCGGAUCGUAAAGCUCUGUUAUUAGGGAAGAACAAAUGUGUAGGUAACUAUGACAGUAUAGACGGUACCUAAUCAGAAAGCCACGGCUAACUACGUG
rnacentral:rRNA from 1 species